UGGCGGGUCUUAAGUGGGGGGCUAGGGGUCCUCUGAAAGGCUUGCCUCGACCGUAAAUCCUCUAUACGACGGACUGACAGCUGAGGUUGAGGUGUCUAAGAGCGUUAAGCUCCGCUUAUCCCUGCAAUGAACAUCCGUCCCUUGGGGCUGGCGGUUGCGGAGCUGCCUCUGUAAGGAGACGGUUUCCGUAUUCGCUAGGUGAAUCUGGCCAGGCCCGGGAGGGAGCAACCUAAGUCUAGACGUUUAGCGCUCAAGGGGUUGCGGAUAUGAGACAAGGGUAACUGUGAGUUUAGUGAAAACUGGGCACCAAACCUCUGUGACCCACCA
rnacentral:SRP_RNA from 1 species